AGUCGAGGGGUAGCAUGAAGUAGCAAUACUUCGAUGACGACCGGCGCACGGGUGAGUAACACGUAUGCAACCUACCUUCCACAGGGGAAUAGCCCGGAGAAAUCCGGAUUAAUACCCCAUAACACAGGGAUACCGCAUGGUAAUAUUUGUUAAAGAUUAAUCGGUAGAAGAUGGGCAUGCGUUCCAUUAGCCAGUUGGUGAGGUAACGGCUCACCAAAGCAACGAUGGAUAGGGGAACUGAGAGGUUUAUCCCCCACACUGGAACUGAGACACGGUCCAGACUCCUACGGGAGGCAGCAGUGAGGAAUAUUGGUCAAUGGACGAGAGUCUGAACCAGCCAAGUCGCGUGAAGGAUGACUGCCCUACGGGUUGUAAACUUCUUUUGUAUGGGAGUAAAAAGAUGGACGUGUCCAUUAUUGCAAGUACCAUACGAAUAAGCAUCGGCUAACUCCGUGCCAGCAGCCGCGGUAAUACGGAGGAUGCAAGCGUUAUCCGGAUUUAUUGGGUUUAAAGGGUGCGUAGGCGGGACAAUAAGUCAGCGGUGAAAGUUUGAGGCUCAACCUUAAAAUUGCCGUUGAAACUGUCGUUCUUGAGUAUAUUUGAAGUAGGCGGAAUUCGUAGUGUAGCGGUGAAAUGCAUAGAU
rnacentral:rRNA from 1 species